rnacentral:rRNA from 1 species
GAUGAACGCUGGCGGCGUGCCUAAUACAUGCAAGUCGAGCGAACAGAUGAGAAGCUUGCUUCUCUGAUGUUAGCGGCGGACGGGUGAGUAACACGUGGGUAACCUACCUAUAAGACUGGGAUAACUCCGGGAAACCGGGGCUAAUACCGGAUAAUAUUUUGAACCGCAUGGUUCAAUAGUGAAAGACGGUUUCGGCUGUCACUUAUAGAUGGACCCGCGCCGUAUUAGCUAGUUGGUAAGGUAACGGCUUACCAAGGCGACGAUACGUAGCCGACCUGAGAGGGUGCUCGGCCACACUGGAACUGAGACACGGUCCAGACUCCUACGGGAGGCAGCAGUAGGGAAUCUUCCGCAACGGGCGAAAGCCUGACGGAGCAACGCCGCGUGAGUGAUGAAGGUCUUCGGAUCGUAAAACUCUGUUGUUAGGGAAGAACAAAUUUGUUAGUAACUGAACAAGUCUUGACGGUACCUAACCAGAAAGCCACGGCUAACUACGUGCCAGCAGCCGCAGUAA